rnacentral:rRNA from 1 species
UAGGGAAUAUUGCACAAUGGAGGAAACUCUGAUGCAGCGACGCCGCGUGAGUGAUGAAGGCCUUCGGGUUGUAAAGCUCUGUUCUCAGGGAAAAAGAAAGUGAUUGUACCUGAGGAGAAAGGACCGGCUAACUUCGUGCCAGCAGCCGCGGUAAGACGAGGGGUCCAAGCGUUGUUCGGAAUUAUUGGGCGUAAAGCGGGUGUAGGUGGAUCUAUAAGUCAGGAGUGAAAGCCCCGAGCUUAACUUGGGAAGUGCUUUUGAUACUGUAGAUCUUGAAUGUGGGAGAGGAUCGUGGAAUUCCAGGUGUAGUGGUGAAAUACGUAGAUAUCUGGAGGAACACCGGUGGCGAAGGCGGCGAUCUGGCCCAACAUUGACACUGAGACCCGAAAGCGCGGGGAUCAAACAGG